UUUAUAGGCACUGCAAUUAGGGCAAGAUGCAAAUUCUCCUCAUGGCUUCUUCAAUGGACAGAGAUGUCAAAUGUGUUUGCGAUCUGAUCCACUGCACGAAGUGAUGAAACGGUUGGCAAAUCCCGGGGUUAGGAGACUUGUAAUUGUGGAGGCUGGCAGCAAUCGUGUGGAAGGUAUAAUAUCAUUGAGUGAUGUGUUCAACUUCUUGCUAGGUUAGCUAGAAUUGUUGGCUGCCAUUUCGCGCAUCACUGGGUUGACCAUGGUGCCAUUGGGGGAAGUACCAUUGUUUUAUUGACAUCUUGUAUCUUUGAGCUACGCUUUCCUUCCCAUUGUGAAAGGUCUAAUUUGUCUCUCCAUGUCAUGGUUUGACGAGCCUCAUGCUUCUGAGUUUCACUCCCUUUUUUAGGAUAGAAAAUUUUAAAGAGAAAAAAGAAAUCUGUAAAUUGUGAGGAUUCAAUUUUUCGCCCUUUUUUUUUUUUUAUUCACUGCUCCUGAUUAUUAUCAACCCUGCAUCUGGCUGGCACAGCUGCCAUGUUUGUGUCUAAUGCUAACAGAAAAUGAGGCAGGCAAAAGAAAAAAGGAACAAAAGGUGAUUCGUAUGUGGCACCUCUUGCUGUUGGUGGGCUGUACGUAAAAAGUUGGUUACUUCAGUUUUAGAGUUGCUGAUCUUUGGUUGCGCUGGCCAAAAAGGAAAAAAGUAUCUUUGGUUGUCGUUUUUAUUGUAACAUUACUAAGUGUGACAAUUCAUCACGGGUUUUUUAAUUGUCUAUAAAUUUAAGAUGGCUUGUUUA